AGGGCAAGUCUGGUGCCAGCAGCCGCGGUAAUUCCAGCUCCAAUAGCGUAUAUUAAAGUUGUUGCAGUUAAAAAGCUCGUAGUUGAACCUUGGGUCUGGCUGGCCGGUCCGCCUCACCGCGAGUACUGGUCCGGCUGGACCUUUCCUUCUGGGGAACCUCAUGGCCUUCACUGGCUGUGGGGGGAACCAGGACUUUUACUGUGAAAAAAUUAGAGUGUUCAAAGCAGGCCUUUGCUCGAAUACAUUAGCAUGGAAUAAUAGAAUAGGACGUGCGGUUCUAUUUUGUUGGUUUCUAGGACCGCCGUAAUGAUUAAUAGGGAUAGUCGGGGGCGUCAGUAUUCAGCUGUCAGAGGUGAAAUUCUUGGAUUUGCUGAAGACUAACUACUGCGAAAGCAUUCGCCAAGGAUGUUUUCAUUAAUCAGGGAACGAGAGUUAGGGGAUCGAAGACGAUCAGAUACCGUCGUAGUCUUAACCAUAAACUAUGCCGACUAGGGAUCGGACGGGAUUCUAUAAUGACCCGUUCGGCACCUUACGGGAAAC
rnacentral:rRNA from 1 species